AAUCAACGCUGGCGGCGUGCCUCAGACAUGCAAGUCGAACGCGAAAUUUCCCUUCGGGGAGAAAGUAGAGUGGCGCACGGGUGAGUAACACGUAGGUAAUUUGCCUUUGGGUGGGGAAUAACUCAGGGAAACUUGAGCUAAUACCGCAUAAUGCAGCGGCUCGACAUCGAGACAGUUGUUAAAGCGGGGGAUUGGAGCAAUCCGACCUCGCGCCUAAAGAGAAGCCUGCGGCAGAUUAGCUAGUUGGUAAGGUAAUGGCUUACCAAGGCGACGAUCUGUAACCGGCCUGAGAGGGCGGUCGGUCACACUGACACUGACAUACGGGUCAGACUCCUACGGGAGCAGCAGUCGGGAAUUUUGGGCAAUGGGCGCAAGCCUGACCCAGCAACGCCGCGUGAAGGAUGAAAUUUUUCGGAAUGUAAACUUCGCAAGAACAGGAAGAAUAAGU
rnacentral:rRNA from 1 species